UAGCGUAGGGGGCAAGCGUUGUCCGGAAUCGAUUGGGCGUAAAGAGCGUGUAGGCGGUCCGGUAAGUCGGCUGUGAAAGUCCAAGGCUCAACCUUGGGAUGCCGGUCGAUACUGCCGGACUAGAGUUCGGAAGAGGCGAGUGGAAUUCCCGGUGUAGCGGUGAAAUGCGCAGAUAUCGGGAGGAACACCUAUGGCGAAGGCAGCUCGCUGGGACGUUACUGACGCUGAGACGCGAAAGCGUGGGGAGCAAACAGG
rnacentral:rRNA from 1 species